GAUGGCUCAGGAAGAUGGCUUCCGUUUGAUAAUGGACAGUGUACCAAGAUCAAUACCAUUUCUCCUCCAAACACACCUCUAACCAGACCUACACAGGUGAACCUAUCUGUAAGCCUCCUACCCCCCGACCAGCCCUACCAGUGUCUAUUUGAUACCACAGCUGUCAGUGCCACAGUCACUGGAGGAAACUUGGUGACAUGUGCCACACCCACCAGCUUACCUACUAUACCAACUGGGGACGAUCACAUCACAAUACCAUUAUCUAUCAAAUCAUUAACGACAGGAGUCAAGUUUCUAACGACCAACUUCAUAUAUUUUGACUGCGGCGCACACU